GAUAGGCCUAGGCCGCAAUAUAGAUGUGGCCUAGGACAAUUGUGUGAGAUGAAACUGAAUGUCAGCUUUUCGAAUGCAUACAAAAUAGCAGUCCAGAUUAAGCCAACAUGUACCACAUUUGCACCUGCUGCAGUACAUAACCAGACAGCCAAGCAAAUUUUCUGUCAGCUUGAGCUAGUGCACACCACUUUGUUAAGGGUCACCUUGGCAGUACAGUGCUACAAUGUGGCAAAACAUUCAGCACGUCUUACAGGGUGCUCUAAAGUAAUCAAAUCUGCAGUAACCUAGUUUAACCUAAUUGCAAAGAUGUUAAUGAUUUGAAGCCCAGAUAGGCAUGCAGCAACUUGAAUAUGAUGACCACCACAUGAUUUGACAAUUCUGCAACUAGUGCAAAUGACCAGUGAGAAAUACUGAUAGUGUCUCUCGCAUAGCCAAGCAUCUCUGACUGCCAUGUGUUGCUUUGGCAAUUCCAUGAACACAGAUUGCAGCCUUGUGCAUUUGUGUGCUCAAUGUUCUGACAAUCUUUAGAAUGCAUUAGGUCAACAUUAGAAUGCAUUCAAUUAAGCACUAUAUAGGGUGUCCCAGCUAACUUUAGCCAGAGUUUUAAAAAUAUGCCCGUGCACUCUAAGACGGCAUGACCAAAUGCAUGUUGCCGACUAUUGUAUGGAGUAAGUCUACAUUCAAUAGCUUUGAAGCCUCCAGUAUUGCUUACCUUCUAUCUGUCAUUCUACGUAUUGCAGGAAUCUCCACCAUUUCCUCAAAAUACACUGUACAGCCAAAGGACAUCAUGCAUACUCAAGGGCAAAAUUCCAACUAUCAGACGACGAUUGCAAGGCUUCGAAGACAGCAGCUCUUAAUGGUCCGUUCCUGUGGCGAGUGGUGGCGGCAGCGGCAUAAUUGAGCGAACGAGCACAACAGCGAAAGAUGGAAGGGCGAACACGGAGUGCGAGAUGGAAGACGCAAGCCGCGAAUGCGGAGACCAAUGAGAGUGGCCCCUUCAGUGAUGUGCACGCAAGAAACUGGUGUCGUGUGGACCCACCACACUGCUCGUUUCGUACUAUCGUCUGCUCACGUCAGCUCUCGCUCGCGCUUAAUUGUUCGGUUUGCUUGGUUUGAUAUCAUUUACACUUGUUUCAAUUGUCGUGGCUUGCAACUUUUGUAAUCUGAUUGUGUACGCAAUGCGAAUUGUUUAGUACUUUCUGGAAACCACGCGGGCACCAGCGAUUACACUGGAACCUUCGACGAGUCAUGUAUAAAAGCCAACACGCUUGACCUGCAGAUCAGAUUUUUGAUGAUUGUUGACUCUACUACAUGUAUUAUGUGCCUCAACAUAUUGCGAAAUGAAAACAAGGAUAGAGCUGCGCUCAAAUUUCGCAUUAGGGAGUAUCGUAAUUGUCGGUGAACUUUUUUUUUUUCUCAGGACAAAUAUUUUUUUACGCUUUUGUUUUUAAUUUGUGACCGCCAUCAGAUAACGACCGCGGGCACUAAGCACGGUGAGCCAUGGUGUUCAAGAUUUACGGCGCCGCGCGAUGCAACACACACAAAUCUCGGACGCCGUAAGUUACGGUGAUGCAUUAUCGGUGAGAUCUGCACCGCACGCACUAGCACUCAUAAUUGUGCUAUUAUCAUAGAGAAAGAAAUUCAACAAGAGGGGGCACUCGGCAAAAACUGGCAACAGGAAACAUGUCACGGCUAGUGUUAAUCCCAUCCGUUAGUUAAUUUGAGCACCAUAAAAAAAAAAUAAUGUGAAAUGAACUUACAGACAUUUUAUUUUGAUUCUUUCCAGCUAAAACUAAAAAGUUUUGUUUAUCAAUAAACUUAUACUCUGUGACUUAUUUUUCUUGCAUUACCUAGCAACAUGGAGGAAGGAAAGCUUUUCCUUCCUCCAUGCCUAGCAACAAGCUAACGGCACGCCAGGUGCAACAGGUGCAUGCGUCAUGCGCCAGAUAGGCCACCGAAGCCAGCGAGGCCAGUUGCGCAUGUGAAGUUCACCUGUUCGGCGACCAGUCUCUUUUGGAUAUUGCGUGUUUGUUGGGCUCCCGGCAUAUUCUUGCAUUUCUUCUGCACUUCGAUACGGCACCACUGCACUAUUGGACUACAACAAGGUGAGAAAUUUUGUUCGACAGUCUGUGACGCAUUUCAAGCAAUUCUGGCUUUUACGGCACAUAACCGAGACUUGCGAUGCAGUUAGCGAAAAACAGCUAGGCCAUCUUGGCGUAGUUGAGUUAAUGACUCGUACUGGGUGAUGGUCGCGACACUUUCUAUGAGCCCCAACAUUAUUAUAACUUAUUUUGGUAGGUUUCGGGCAUGCUCGCCGCACCCGGCUUUGCGACGCAAUUAGCAAAAAGCACCUCGGCCAUGUGAGGCAGUUUUGCCUGUACUGAAUCUUACCGAACAAGUUUUGGCACUUUCCCUGGCCCACAACAUUAUUGUAACUAAUUUCGUUACUUUUGGGGGUACUUUUCAUGCACAGUGGCCUCGCCCGGCAUUGUGAAGCAGUUAGUGAAAAGCAGCUCGGCUCUGUGAUGCAGUUAGUUUUGCAGUGUAGUGAUCUUACCGGGUCAAGUUUGGUGCUUUCCCUGACCCCGAACAUUAUUCUAACUGAUUUCCUUACUUUUAGGGGUACUUUUCAAGCACAGUGGCUGCGCCCGGCGUUGUGAUGCAGUUAGCAAAAAAGUAUGCAGAUCCCACACACAGUGGGAAUCAAUGCGAUGCCGUCCGGUGGAGUUUCGUACGGGAACUACUGCUUUUUACUUCGUGCCACAACGUUGGAUGAACGCACAAAAACCCGAGAACUAGCAUUUAUAUAGAGCAAAAUAAACAUUUACUCAUUUACAAAGUGUUUUGCGUCUA